AUUGAACGCUGGCGGCAUGCUUUACACAUGCAAGUCGAACGGUAACAGGCCUUCGGGUGCUGACGAGUGGCGAACGGGUGAGUAAUGCAUCGGAACGUGCCCAGUCGUGGGGGAUGAACGCAGCGAAAGCUGCAGCUAAUACCGCAUACGAUCUGUGGAUGAAAGCGGGGGACCGUAAGGCCUCGCGCGAUUGGAGCGGCCGAUGUCAGAUUAGGUAGUUGGUGGGGUAAAGGCUCACCAAGCCAAGCGAUCUGUAGCUGGUCUGAGAGGACGACCAGCCACACUGGGACUGAGACACGGCCCAGACUCCUACGGGAGGCAGCAGUGGGGAAUUUUGGACAAUGGGGCAACCCGUGAUCCAGCAAUGCCGCGUGCAGGAAGGAAGGCCUUCGGGUUCGUAAACUGCUUUUGAUCGGAACGAAAAGGCUCUGGCUAAUACCUGGGGCACAUGACGGUACCGUAAGAAUAAGCACCGGCUAACUACGUGCCAGCAGCCGCGGUAAUACGUAGGGUGCAAGCG
rnacentral:rRNA from 1 species